GUAGCACCUUAGAGACCAACUAAGUUUGUUCUUGGUAUGAGCUUUCAUGUGCAUGCUAAGAACAAACUUAGUUGGUCUCUAAGGUGCUAC